GACAGAGGAGGCAACCUUUGUUCGUAAUCAUUGGGCUUAAAGCGCGCGUAGGCGCCCUUGUAAGUGUCUUGUGCAAUCCCACGGCUCACCCGUGGAACUGCAGGGCAAACUGCAAGACUUGAGGUCGGUAGAGGCGCCUGGAACUCUAGGCGGAGCGGUGAAAUGCGUAGAUAUCUAGGGGAACGCCGGAGGCGAAAGCGGGGCGCUGGGCCGAUUCUGACGCUGAUGCGCGAAAGCGUGGGGAGCAAACAGG
rnacentral:rRNA from 1 species